AUUGAACGCUGGCGGCAGGCCUAACACAUGCAAGUCGAGCGAGCGGCGGACGGGUGAGUAAUGUAUGGGGACUGCCCGAUAGAGGGGGAUAACUACUGGAAACGGUAGCUAAUACCGCAUACUAUCGGAUAACCCAUAUGGGAUUAGCUAGUGGGUGGGGUAAUGGCUCACCUAGGCGACGAUCCCUAGCUGGUCUGAGAGGAGGAGCAGCCACACUGGGACUGAGACACGGCCCAGACUCCUACGGAGGCAGCAGUGGGGAAUAUUGCACAAUGGGGGAAAGCCUGAUGCAGCCAUGCCGCGUGUAUGAAGAAGGCCUUAGGGUUGUAAAGUACUUUUGGUCGGGAGGCGUUACCGACAGAAGAAGCACCGGCUAACUACGUGCCAGCCGCCGCGGUAAUAC
rnacentral:rRNA from 1 species